rnacentral:rRNA from 1 species
AGCAGCCGCGGUAAUUCCAGCUCCAAUAGCGUAUAUUAAAGUUGUUGCAGUUAAAAAGCUCGUAGUUGAAUUUCGGGGUCUGUCCGUCGGUCGGGCUUCACGGUCCGUACUGGUGUGAUGGGUUCCUACCUUCUGAAUAACCGGCAUGCCAUUCAGUUGGUGCGCCGGGGAAGCAGAGCUAUUACCUUGAAAAAAUUAGAGUGCUUAAAGCAGGCUAGUGCUUGAAUAGAUUAGCAUGGAAUAAUAAAAUAGGACGGCAUGGUUCUAUUUUGUUGGUUUCUAGGAUCACCGUAAUGGUUAAUAGGGAUAGUUGGGGGCAUUAGUAUUCAAUUGUCAGAGGUGAAAUUCUUGGAUUUAUUGAAGACUAACUUCUGCGAAAGCAUUUGCCAAGGAUGUUUUCAUUAAUCAAGAACGAAAGUUAGGGGAUCGAAGACGAUCAGAUACCGUCGUAGUCUUAACCAUAAACUAUGCCGACUAGGGAUCGGACGAUGUUAAUUUUUUAAUGACUCGUUCGGCGCCU